UACGGAGGGGGCUAGCGUUGUUCGGAAUUACUGGGCGUAAAGCGCACGUAGGCGGCUUUGCAAGUUAGAGGUGAAAGCCCGGGGCUCAACUCCGGAAUUGCCUUUAAAACUGCAUCGCUAGAAUUGUGGAGAGGUAAGUGGAAUUCCGAGUGUAGAGGUGAAAUUCGUAGAUAUUCGGAAGAACACCAGUGGCGAAGGCGACUUACUGGACACAUAUUGACGCUGAGGCGCGAAAGCUAGGGGAGCAAACAGG
rnacentral:rRNA from 1 species